AUCGCAUCUCCCCCCACACCCACCUUUAUGGGAAGGGGAAGGAGGAUGGCUUCCCAUGCCUCACCGGGCACGGUUGGCCUAAAAACGGAGCCUUAGGCACUGAGCUGCCGCGGCGAUAGGUGGUGAACAAGGCAUCUGUCAUGCAAGCAACCCGUCGCGCAGCACUUUGUCAUUUGGAGCUCGAAGGACCCUGCUGAGUUGCUCUUGGCAACCUAACCG
rnacentral:misc_RNA from 1 species